rnacentral:rRNA from 1 species
AUGGGCGCAAGCCUGAUGCAGCCAUGCCGCGUGUAUGAAGAAGGCCUUCGGGUUGUAAAGUACUUUCAGCAGUGAGGAAGGGGGUGUCGUUAAUAGCGGCAUCUCUUGACGUUAGCUGCAGAAGAAGCACCGGCUAACUCCGUGCCAGCAGCCGCGGUAAUACGGAGGGUGCGAGCGUUAAUCGGAAUUACUGGGCGUAAAGCGCAUGCAGGUGGUUUGUUAAGUCAGAUGUGAAAGCCCGGGGCUCAACCUCGGAACUGCAUUUGAAACUGGCAAACUAGAGUACUGUAGAGGGGGGUAGAAUUUCAGGUGUAGCGGUGAAAUGCGUAGAGAUCUGAAGGAAUACCAGUGGCGAAGGCGGCCCCCUGGACAGAUACUGACACUCAGAUGCGAAAGCGUGGGGAGCAAACAGGAUUAGAUACCCUGGUAGUCCACGCCGUAAACGAUGUCUACUUGGAGGUUGUGGCCUUGAGCCGUGGCUUUCGGAGCUAACGCGUUAAGUAGACCGCCUGGG